UACGGGAGGCAGCAGUGGGGAAUCUUGCACAAUGGAGGAAACUCUGAUGCAGCGAUGCCGCGUGAGUGAAGAAGGCCUUUGGGUUGUAAAGCUCUUUCGUCGGGGAAGAAAAUGACUGUACCCGAAUAAGAAGGUCCGGCUAACUUCGUGCCAGCAGCCGCGGUAAUACGAAGGGACCUAGCGUAGUUCGGAAUUACUGGGCUUAAAGAGUUCGUAGGUGGUUGAAAAAGUUGGUGGUGAAAUCCCAGAGCUUAACUCUGGAACUGCCAUCAAAACUUUUCAGCUAGAGUUUGAUAGAGGAAAGCAGAAUUUCUAGUGUAGAGGUGAAAUUCGUAGAUAUUAGAAAGAAUACCAAUUGCGAAGGCAGCUUUCUGGAUCAUUACUGACACUGAGGAACGAAAGCAUGGGUAGCGAAGAGGAUUAGAUACCCUCGUAGUCCAUGCCGUAAACGAUGUGUGUUAGACGUUGGAAAUUUAUUUUCAGUGUCGCAGCGAAAGCGAUAAACACACCGCCUGGGGAGUACGACCGCAAGGUUAAAACUCAAAUGAAUUGACGGGGACCCGCACAAGUAGUGGAGCAUGUGGUUUAAUUCGAAGAUACGCGCAGAACCUUACCAACACUUGACAUGUUCGUCGCGACUUUAAGAGAUUAAAGUUUUCGGUUCGGCCGGACGAAACACAGGUGCUGCAUGGCUGUCGUCAGCUCGUGUCGUGAGAUGUUGGGUUAAGUCCCGCAACGAGCGCAACCCUCACUUUUAGUUGCCAUCAUUAAGUUGGGCACUCUGAAAGAACUGCCAGUGAUAAGCUGGAGGAAGGUGGGGAUGACGUCAAGUCCUCAUGGCCCUUACGUGUUGGGCUACACACGUGCUACAAUGGUAUCUACAACAGGAAGCAAGACGGCGACGUUAAGCAAAUCCUUAAAAGAUACCUCAGUUCGGAUUGCACUCUGCAACUCGAGUGCAUGAAGCUGGAAUUACUAGUAAUCGUGGAUCAGCGUGCCACGGUGAAUGCGUUCCCGGGUCUUGUACACACCGCCCGUCACACCAUGGGAGUUGGUUCUACCUUAAGGCAAGGUUUCAAACCCUUGACCACGGUAUAGUCAGCGACUGGGGUGAAGUCGUAACAAGGUAGCCGUAGGGGAACCUGCGGCUG
rnacentral:rRNA from 1 species